CAUUCAUUCAUUAAUUAAUUCUUCAAAUAUUCAGGUGAUAACUGCUAUAUAGAACACACUAUGCCAGAUACAGGGAGGACACUAAAGGAUUAAUGGUACCAGAUCCCUGAUCAUGAAUUUACAAUCUGACUUGCAAAACAGACCCUCUGAAGCUUUCCUGCCUGCAGUUACUUUGGCACAGAGUUCUCCAGCCACCAGAUCAUGGCUGAAAUCAUGGCAAAUCAAUCCUCUUCUUAGAUGCAGAUUUGGGACAUAUGAGGAAGAGGAUGUGAUGACCCCUCCAUAUUGGACUUGGAAACUAGAGUCAAUCUUUGGUGCUAACAGAAAAUGUGGAGGAAGAUAGCUUGUGCAAAAAUAUAAACCUAUUUUUGCUUUAAACAU
rnacentral:lncRNA from 1 species